rnacentral:rRNA from 1 species
ACCUGCGGAAGGAUCAUUAUCGAAUGAAAUGGGCUGUUGCUGGCUUCUUGCAUGUGCACGCCUUGUCAUUAUUUCUCCUCUGUGCACCGACUGUAGGUCUGGAGUUUUUCAGGUCUAUGUUUUUACAAUCACUCUAUGUGUGUUUGGAAUGUGAAUAAUAAUAAAAUAUAUAUACAACUUUCAGCAACGGAUCUCUUGGCUCUCGCAUCGAUGAAGAACGCAGCGAAAUGCGAUAAGUAAUGUGAAUUGCAGAAUUCAGUGAAUCAUCGAAUCUUUGAACGCAUCUUGCGCUCCUUGGUAUUCUGAGGAGCAUGCCUGUUUGAGUGUCAUCAAGUUCUCAACCCAUGGAAUUCAUGGAUUGGAUGGUUGGGAUUUGCAGGCAUUUGAAAAGAAGGUCUGCUUUCCUGAAAUAAAUUAGUGGCAUGUUCUGGGACCACUACAGGUUGUAUUUAUGCCUCUUGUAAAAAGGCCCCAUUGUCCAAGCUGCUUCAAAUUACUGUCACUUUGUUGACCNAUUUGACCUCAAAUCAGGUAGGACUACCCGCUGAACUUAAGCA